GAUGAAGAACGUAGCGAAAUGCGAUACGUAGUGUGAAUUGCAGAAUUCAGUGAAUCAUCGAAUCUUUGAACGCACAUUGCACCUCUCGGUAUUCCGGGAGGUAUGCCUGUUCGAGCGUCAUUUGUACCCUCAAGCUCUGCUUGGUGUUGUGUUUGUUCCGCCUCUGUGUGUGAACUCGCCUCAAAACAAUUGGCAGCCGGCGUACUUGUUUCGGAGCGCAGCACAUUUUGCGAUCCAGAUCAACGUACAGCGGCAUCCAAGAAGCCUUAUUUAACGCUCUUGACCUCGGAUCAGGUAGGGAUACCCGCUGAACUUAAGCAUAUCAAUAAGCGGAGGA
rnacentral:misc_RNA from 1 species